rnacentral:rRNA from 1 species
GACGAACGCUGGCGGCGUGCUUAACACAUGCAAGUCGAACGGAAAGGCCCUGCUUUUGUGGGGUGCUCGAGUGGCGAACGGGUGAGUAACACGUGAGUAACCUGCCCUUGACUUUGGGAUAACUUCAGGAAACUGGGGCUAAUACCGGAUAGGAGCUCCUGCUGCAUGGUGGGGGUUGGAAAGUUUCGGCGGUUGGGGAUGGACUCGCGGCUUAUCAGCUUGUUGGUGGGGUGGUGGCUUACCAAGGCUUUGACGGGUAGCCGGCCUGGGAGGGUGACCGGCCACAUUGGGACUGAGAUACGGACCAGACUCCUACGUGAGGCAGCAGUGGAGAAUAUUGCACAAUGGGCGGAAGCCUGAUGCAGCAACGCCGCGUGCGGGAUGACGGCCUUCGGGUUGUAAACCGCUUUCGCCUGUGACGAAGCGUGAGUGACGGUAAUGGGUAAAGAAGCACCGGCUAACUACGUG